AAUUAGAACAUUCUCAUACUCUUAAACAUUUUCAUCAUUCUUAAAGAUCUUUUUUUAUGCACAGAAUUAAGGAAAAAUAUAAUUAAACUACUAUAUAAAGGACGGUUCUUUAAUCAAAAGAAAAACAAGGCAACAUUUCAGUAAUAGAGUUUACAGUACCUAUGAACAUGGAAUUCACUUGUUUAUUUGUCAGAUAUUAGGACAAAGACAGUUACACCACUAUCUCAAAAAAGGUUCUUUAAUCACAAUAAAAACAAGGUAACAUUUCAACAAUAGAGUUUAUCGCUCUUAAACUUAGUACAAGAAGAUGCCCUAAUACAAGUCACCUCUGUUCAAAAGAUGAUAUUAGGUCUUUGUAAUAUGAAGGAUGAUGUGAUUGGCCUGAUAACUAAUUCAAUAUAUAAUAUAAUAUGCAGUAGAAGCUAAAUUUGAGUCUGCUUUGAAUCUGGAUUCUAUUCAGAUAUAAUAAAAUUUGACAGAGUUCAUUCAUACUCCGACUAUCAUGUCAAGUUCCAGCCUUGUCUUCUUGAAUAGUUUCUUUGGCGUUUAGAAUACUUUUCCUGGGAUAUUAGCAUUAAAUGAAUAUAAAAUCGUAGAACAAAAGCAGCUUGACUCUUUUAAAGGGUGCAGAUUAAGACCCGAGGGGAACAUUGUGUCAAGAACAUCAGAAUUAAAAAAAAAAAGUCAUAUAUGGUUUGCAUAAAUAUAAAGCAUAAAUGAUCCAUAAAAGAUAAUUGAUAACUAAGUUUUUCAACAGUAAUUAUGAUUUAGUUUCUCUGGUAUCAAUUAAUGCAACGUUGAUGAAUUAAUGGCCAGCUAAUAAAUACCUUGGUUUUAAUAAACAGAUUAGUUUUUUUGACAUUAUCAAUAAUAGGAUAUCCAAAAUCCGGUCAGCUGUGUUUGAUUGCUCUCUUGAUUUCUUAUGAUGACAUAGAAAGUUAUGAAAUGAACUCGGCGGACCAGCUAACACAAAAUCAAUCCCACUUAUCUAUGUAAAGAAAAUCAAUUUCUUCGAUUCCUUUUUCUAUUUAUUUUCAAAAAAUGGGGCAUACCUAAACUUGUGCUAUUUGAACAAUUUUCUGGGCCAUGUUGCUGACACAAUUUAGGUAAGAUAUACUUAGCAAGCAUUCACUUCCCUAGUUUUGAACUUGGCAAGCAUUCAAUCAAAAAAGUCCUUUUUUCUCGGUUCUAACAACAUAACGCAUAACUUGUAUAAAAAUUGAGUCCAUCGCUAUUCUGGAAUAGAACCAUGGAAAUUUGUUUAAGAGUAGGGAAACGCAUAAGAAAGUAAAGAAUUUCACAAGCAUAACACGAUCUUUGAACCCUAAAAACACAGUUCGCACCUGCGCAACGACGGCAGCAAAGGACAUGCCAAGCGGAAGAGUGAGAUCCUGGAGACCCUCAUCAACACGGCCAACGCGAGGCAGCCACAGGCUAUGGCUUCUACUCCUCAAACGCAUCCCUGUCCGCUGCGUCCGCUGACGGGAGGAAGAGAAUGAAGAAGAAGACGCGUCAUCCCUCUCCGUGCUCCUAGUUCUCGAACUGGAAACGCAUCUUCCCCUCUCAAGCGGCUGCCACCGCCGCAUCCUAACGGUAGCGCAAUCGACGCGUCCGCCUGCCCUGCCCCGAUCCCCCGCCGUCACCGCAAUCGACCGCCGCACUGCCGUUCGAUCGGGCGCAUUCCAUGCGAGAUGAGGGAAGAGAGCGCCGUCGGAACUGGGAGCAAACUGAGCGGUGGAAUUUGAUGGAAGGGCAAAUUAGUACCUUCGCUGGGGAUUGGAACUGAGGGACUCGAAACGCAACAAAUCUGAGCUGUUCAUUCC
rnacentral:lncRNA from 1 species